rnacentral:lncRNA from 1 species
GGGACAUUCAAAUGGAUCCAGUUUGGUCUGAUUUUUUUUAAGUCAUCAUCACAUAAUACUUUCUUUGUCUUCCAUACAGAAAGCAUGUGUUUUGCUAGUCCUAUAGGAUCAAUUGCUGUCAUUUUUACUGGAUCUGUAUUUACUAUCUUCUGCCAAUUAAGGCACACCUCCAAAAAUAGGAGUAGGAAAACUAUCCACCAAUAUUAAAAAAGAAAAAAAACGGUCACACUAUUUAAUUAUUUAAAGUUAUAUCAUAAUCUUCCACCAAUAAGACAAAUGGUCAAGGUUUAUUUACACACACAUAAAAAAGAAAGAUUCAUCUUCUUAUUAAGUUUAAAUGUCAUCUAAGCACACGGUCUCUCAUCUGCUAUAAAUUGGGAAUCACAAAGAUUUUGAAAAAGUUAAAAUGUUUAUACUAAUUAAAAAAAAACUAAAUGAGACAAUUUAUACUAUUUGAAAAAUAAUUUAUCCAACUAGAUGAGAUAAUUUAUACUAUCUGAAAAUAAAUUAUCCAUCAGUAUGAAAAAAAUUAAGGAAAACGGGGAAGUAUCAAGAUGCGAUCAGUCCUCAACAAGGCAUAUAUAAUUAACACACG